UAUAUAUGUUUAUUGUUAUUAAAAAUGUAGAUAAGUUAUAUGCUAAUAGUUGCUGAAACAGUAUAUACAUAUUUUAUAUAUUAAUUGUUGCUCAAAGUUUAAUAUUUUUUAUGUAAAUAGAGGCUGAAAGCGUAAAUAUUUUAUUUGUUGCUUAAACAGUAAUUGAUGCUGUUACUGUGUGUAUUUGAUUUGUGUUUGUUUAAUCUACACUGACUAGUCACUAGAUGCAUUAGGGGGCAGGGUUGAUAUCUCACAAAACAAGUUUAACCCCACCAAAUUUUGGUUCAUAUAGUUAAAUAAACUCAUCAUAGAUACCAGGACUAAAUUUUGUAUAUACGCCAGACGCGUGUUUCGUCUACAAAAGACUCAUCAGUGACGCUCGAAUCCAAACAAGUUAAAAAAGCCAAAUAAAGUAUGAGUUUGAAGAGCAUUGAGGACCAAAUUUCCUAAAAGUUUUGUCAAAUCCAGCUAAGGUAAUCUAUGCUUAAGUGUGACAUCCUUAUUUGCUGAACUAGUUUUUAUUUUUGAUAAGGGCCUAGCUGAAACUGGCAUCAGAGUGUUGGAUUAUCUCACUGUGUUGAAACCCUGAGGUUGUUGUCUAUUUGACUUAUUCAACAUUUCCAAUUUUCCAUUUUAUUUUUUUAAUUGAAAUGAUUUUGAAAAAAAGUAUUUAACAGUUUCUUAUCUGUAUUUCAUCUUUCAAACACAAUCCCUUGGUACAUAUUAAAAAUUAAUCUUUUUUCUAAACUUAGUGUCGCAUAAAUAGCUGUAUUUGUAUUACUGGUAUUAUUAGAUUUGACGAUUAUUAAUUAUAAUUUUUUUAACAAAAAAUA
rnacentral:lncRNA from 1 species